UACGUAGGGUGCAAGCGUUGCCCGGAUUUAUUGGGCGUAAAGAGCGUGUAGGCGGCCAUGUAGGUCCGGUGUGAAAACUCGAGGCUUAACCUCGAGAUGUCAUCGGAAACCAUUUGGCUAGAGUCCGGAAGAGGAGAGUGGAAUUCCUGGUGUAGCGGUGAAAUGCGCAGAUAUCAGGAAGAACACCCGUGGCGAAGGCGGCUCUCUGGGACGGUACUGACGCUGAGACGCGAAAGCGUGGGGAGCGAACAGG
rnacentral:rRNA from 1 species